AAUAAAGUGGCUGAGUUAUAAGCGAUAAAUUGUAAAUUUAUUUACAAGAACUUUCUUCUUUAUUA
rnacentral:tRNA from 1 species